rnacentral:rRNA from 1 species
AUUCCAGCUCCAAUAGCGUAUAUUAAUGUUGUUGCAGUUAAAAAGCUCGUAGUUGGAUCUCUAACGCACGCGGCCGGUCCGCCCCUCACGGGGUGUGCACUGCGCCGUCGUGCGUUAUCCUGGGGGAGAGCGUCCCGCGCAUUAGGUUGUGUGGGUCGGGAUCCUCCACGUUUACUCAAAAUAAAUAAGAGUGUUCAAAGCAGGCGAUUGCUGUGAAUUCUUCAGUUGGGAAUAAUAAGAUAGGACUCGGGGACUAUCUUGUUGGUUUGCAUCUCCGAGUAAUGAUAAUAGGGACAGUUGGAGAUAUUCAUAUUCAGUUGUCAGAGGUGAAAUUCUUGGAUUUACGGAAGAUGAACUACUGCGAAAGCAUUUAUCGAGGAUGUUUUCAUCA